AUUGAACGCUGGCGGAAUGCUUUACACAUGCAAGUCGAACGGAAGCACGGGGGCAACCCUGGUGGCGAGUGGCGAACGGGUGAGUAAUACAUGGGAACGUGCCCAGUCGUGGGGGAUAACGUAGCGAAAGUUACGCUAAUACAGCAUACGAUCUAAGGAUGAAAGAGGGGGAUCGUAAGGCAUCGCGCGAUUGGAGCGGCCGACGUCGGAUGAGGUAGUUGGUGAGGUAAAGGCUCACCAAGCCGACGAUCUGUAGCUGGUCUGAGAGGACGACCAGCCACACUGGGACUGAGACACGGCCCAGACUCCUACGGGAGGCAGCAGUGGGGAAUUUUGGACAAUGGGCGCAAGCCUGAUCCAGCCAUUCCGCGUGCAGGACGAAGGCCUUCGGGUUGUAAACUGCUUUUGUACGGAACGAAAAGGCUCUGGUUAAUACCUGGGGCUCAUGACGGUACCGUAAGAAUAAGCACCGGCUAACUACGUGCCAGCCGCCGCAGUAA
rnacentral:rRNA from 1 species